UCGUGAUUAACCUGCCCUUGACUCUGGGAUAAGCCUGGGAAACUGGGUCUAAUACUGGAUACGACCUUCUGGCGCAUGCCAUGUGGGUGGAAAGCUUUUGUGGUUUUGGAUGGACUCGCGGCCUAUCAGCUUGUUGGUGGGGUAAUGGCCUACCAAGGCGACGACGGGUAGCCGGCCUGAGAGGGUGGACGGCCACACUGGGACUGAGACACGGCCCAGACUCCUACGGGAGGCAGCAGUGGGGAAUAUUGCACAAUGGGCGCAAGCCUGAUGCAGCGACGCCGCGUGAGGGAUGAAGGCCUUCGGGUUGUAAACCUCUUUCAGUAGGGAAGAAGCGAAAGUGACGGUACCUGCAGAAGAAGCGCCGGCUAACUACGUGCCAGCAGCCGCGGUAAUACGUAGGGCGCAAGCGUUAUCCGGAAUUAUUGGGCGUAAAGAGCUCGUAGGCGGUUUGUCGCGUCUGCCGUGAAAGUCCGGGGCUUAACUCCGGAUCUGCGGUGGGUACGGGCAGACUUGAGUGAUGUAGGGGAGACUGGAAUUCCUGGUGUAGCGGUGAAAUGCGCAGAUAUCAGGAGGAACACCGAUGGCGAAGGCAGGUCUCUGGGCAUUAACUGACGCUGAGGAGCGAAAGCAUGGGGAGCGAACAGGAUUAGAUACCCUGGUAGUCCAUGCCGUAAACGUUGGGCACUAGGUGUGGGGGACAUUCCACGUUUUCCGCGCCGUAGCUAACGCAUUAAGUGCCCCGCCUGGGGAGUACGGCCGCAAGGCUAAAACUCAAAGGAAUUGACGGGGGGCCCGCACAAGCGGCGGAGCAUGCGGAUUAAUUCGAUGCAACGCGAAGAACCUUACCAAAGGCUUGACAUGAACCGGAACGGCGCAGAGAUGUGUCGGCCACUUGUGGCCGGUUUACAGGUGGUGCAUGGUUGUCGUCAGCUCGUGUCGUGAGAUGUUGGGUUAAGUCCCGCAACGAGCGCAACCCUCGUUCCAUGUUGCCAGCGGUU
rnacentral:rRNA from 1 species